UUAACUGAAACCAAAAAGAGGUAUAUUAUUGUUAAUAAUAAAAAUGAAUAAACAAUUCCAGUUAAA
rnacentral:tRNA from 1 species